AACGAACGCUGGCGGCGUGGAUAAGACAUGCAAGUCGAACGCUGAUUUCAGGGUAGCAAUAUUCUGGAGUCGGAGUGGCGCAAGGGUGCGUAACACGUGGGUAAUUUGCCAUGAAGCCCGGAAUAACUCGCUGAAAGGCGAGCUAAUACCGGAUGUGAUAUUCGGGAGGCAUCUCCUGAACCUUAAAGCUGGGGACCGUAAGGCCUGGCACUUCUUGAUAAGCCCGCGGCCUAUCAGCUAGUUGGUGAGGUAACGGCUCACCAAGGCUAAGACGGGUAGCUGGUCUGAGAGGACGACCAGUCACACUGGAACUGAGACACGGUCCAGACACCUACGGGUGGCAGCAGUCGAGAAUUUUUCUCAAUGGGCGAAAGCCUGAAGGAGCGACGCCGCGUGGGGAUGAAU
rnacentral:rRNA from 1 species